GGACGAUAUGGUUAUCAAUAUUUCAGAUUAUCAAAUUUGAGUGACCAUUAUGUGAACUAUUUUUUUUUUUAUUGAAAAAGUUGUUUCCUUUUUAUGAAAAGAUCAAUUUCACAAAGUUAAUAUUAGUGAUGUGAUAUAAAUCCAGAUUUUGCACCUCAAAUUCCAAAAAUUAAUAUAAUAUUAAAAUUAUUUUAUAAAAUAUAA